UAAGUAAGAUCAGUUAGAACAACUCCAACUCACAAAAAUACUCAUGAACUCAAAAUAUUUCGUUCAAUUAACUGCAAAAAAUGCGUCGCAAUCCGCAUUUUACAUAACACGCAUGCGCACUAAUGUUGCGCCAGGGUCACAUGACACACAAAGCCCGAUGAAGAAAUUGCCCGCCAUUUCGUCAAAAUUGGAACCACAAUGCUGUUAACAAGCAAGUACCUGGACACAGUUUAUUAGGAAACAUAGUUAAUUAAUAAACUAUUCUGUCUUACACGGCCAGUUACCAUAACCUUUUAUCCAUAUUUUAUAUUUAGUUCGUUGUGAUUAUUGGACAUAGAUUAGCAUCUUAGGUAGCUCUGGCUAGCCGUUGGUUGGAUUUUUUAUGAUGAUGUGAUAAUUUGGCUAACUUUUAACAUGCCGCGUUUUAUUUUUAGUAUAAGGUUAAGGGUAAGUGGAUACGCGUAUAUUAUAGCAAACUGAUCUCGCUUCAAGCGAAAAUCCGUUUCAAUCACUGGAGUGUUUUAACGUAAACUGCGUUCAAUCAUGCAUGUAUGUGUAGCAGAGAAGUUGUUAAAUCUUCAAUAUUUAUAUAGCUCAUAAAUCAUUUCACCAAUAACGGGAUAACUAUAAGGAAGAGAUUAUUUAACAAUCUUGUUUUGUUGAAGAUCCUAUUCAAUGUACGUAGGUUGUGCUUUUUUUUGUUCGCAUUAUUGGAAGCUCUUGUGAAUUUUGUUUUUUUGUCGCCAUGCUUACUUAAAACGGCAAGUUUUACCCUCUGAGGAGAGUGCCUUCUUGAAGAUUUCAUUCAGCACAAAGUACGGUAGCCUGAAAAGAGAAGACCGUCUACAAAGGCAAGGGCAAUAUCGUCAAAGAAUUCACCAGGCUGAUGUCUAUGGACCUCACUUUGUUCUAUGAGCGUUUGGACAGUCACCUGCUCAGACUUCUUCAGUUGUUGAGGUCAAAGCGCUUUGAGGGGAGUAAAGAAAUGACAUCCUUACUGGAGAGCCUUGACAAGGAUGUAUCAAACCAAAAGAAGAGGGCAACAGCUUUGCAUGGUCUACCGUGGUACAUGAAGGAAAAUCCAUCUGCAUUCAUGAAGAUGUGUGAGCCCACGGAUCCUGAGGAGGAUGUCAUCAGGGGAAUGCUCACUGGAAUACUCUUAGUUGCUGAGGAUGUGAAGGAGCCCCUUCCAGCUUCCUACAAUGAUAUUGCCAUUGUGGUUGAAGAAAUUAUUGUCAUUCGCCACUUGCGAGAUGUACCCAGUGCUUUUGUCAAUCUGAUGGGACUGCUGUACAUUCUGAACAUUGACUAUCCAAAAGACUUGAAGUACACUUUUGAAGUAAUUCAACGACUAUUCAUGGGAAUAGGGCUGGACGCAUGCACUGCCAGAGUCCACUCUCUGAAGAAUAAAUUGUUCAUUUAAUUAGAUAAUGCAAGCAUCUUCAUUGGUUAUGUUUUGAUUUUCUGUGUCUUGAUGUUCUUGCUGAUCUUUGAAGCAAAUGUGUCUAUAUACUUACUUAUAUUUACUUAUACACUUUAUGUAUUUCAGCCCUAUUCCCGUGAACAGAGGCAUUUUUGUAAUAUUUAAAGUAUCUCUUUAAUGUAUCAGCAAGACACUAUAUUAUUUUUAUUAUUAUUUUUUGGCAGCUGUACAAUUGACAUUUAAUAUUUUUUGUUGUGGCUGCUCUGUUCAGAGGAAAUGUGUCUCUGAGACACAAUUUUAUUUGGUUUUAAAGGAGCCUUGAACGGAGUUUACAUUUGAGCAGUACCUAUACUUUUGAUGUUAAGAUAGUUGACCAUGUGUCUUAGUUGACAUUUGUCUGCAGUUGAGAAUAAAUAUUCCAGA